UACGUAGGGGGCUAGCGUUGUCCGGAAUCAUUGGGCGUAAAGCGCGUGUAGGCGGCCCGGUAAGUCCGCUGUGAAAGUCGGGGGCUCAACCCUCGGAUGCCGGUGGAUACUGUCGGGCUCGAGUACGGAAGAGGCGAGUGGAAUUCCUGGUGUAGCGGUGAAAUGCGCAGAUAUCAGGAGGAACACCAAUGGCGAAGGCAGCACUCUGGGACGUGACUGACGCUGAGGUGCGAAAGCGUGGGGAGCAAACAGG
rnacentral:rRNA from 1 species